GAUCGCAGUCUGCAACUCGACUGCGUGAAGUCGGAAUCGCUAGUAAUCGCGGAUCAGCAUGCCGCGGUGAAUACGUUCCCGGGCCUUGUACACACCGCCCGUCACACCAUGAGAGUCGGGAACACCCGAAGUCCGUAGCCUAACUUUAACGAGGGGCGCGGCCGAAGGUGGGUUCGAUAAUUGGGGUGAAGUCGUAACAAGGUAAC
rnacentral:rRNA from 1 species